GACGAACGCUGGCGGCGUGCCUAAUACAUGCAAGUUGAGCGCUGAAGGUUGGUACUUGUACCAACUGGAUGAGCAGCGAACGGGUGAGUAACGCGUGGGGAAUCUGCCUUUGAGCGGGGGACAACAUUUGGAAACGAAUGCUAAUACCGCAUAAAAACUUUAAACACAAGUUUUAAGUUUGAAAGAUGCAAUUGCAUCACUCAAAGAUGAUCCCGCGUUGUAUUAGCUAGUUGGUGAGGUAAAGGCUCACCAAGGCGAUGAUACAUAGCCGACCUGAGAGGGUGAUCGGCCACAUUGGGACUGAGACACGGCCCAAACGCCUACGGGAGGCAGCAGUAGGGAAUCUUCGGCAAUGGACGAAAGGCUGACCGAGCAACGCCGCGUGAGUGAAGAAGGUUUUCGGAUCGGAAAACUCGGUUGGUAGAGAAGAACGUUGGUGAGAGUGGAAAGCUCAUCAAGUGACGGUAACUACCCAGAAAGGGACGGCUAACUACGUG
rnacentral:rRNA from 1 species